rnacentral:misc_RNA from 1 species
GUGAAUCAUCGAAUUUUUGAACGCAUAUUGCACUCUCUGGUAUUCCGGAGAGCAUGCCUAUUUGAGGGUCAUUUGUAAUAAUAUAAUUUUCGAGAGUUUCUUGGUUUCUACAAUGGGUUGGUCCAGCACUCGUGUGGUGGUCGCCUACAGUGAAAGGCAAGCUCAUUUCUUGGGGUGCGUGAUACGUUCAGUUACCUCGUG